UGGUAGGUGAUUUCGUAGGGAUGAGACGUCAUGUAUAUUUUGUAUAAUCAUUUUAUUAGAUAAAACUAGUCGACGUAAAUAAAAAUAUUUUCAGGUUUAUCAUUUAACCUUGAUAAAUUUUGGAAUUUUAUUAUAAAUAUAUUUGUAGCAAUUAUGUAGUUCUGGUGUUGUUAAAUUAUAUACCUACUUACUAUGUGGUGUCGAAGAAUAUGACUGAAAAAUAAGAAUUGUGAAAAAUAAUCAAAUUGAUUCUAUAGUAUUUUCAUCUCAAAUUAUACUAGUAACCAUGGCGCAGACAAUAUUUGGAGUAUGGGACUACGUUAUCAUGACGGCUACCAUGGUAGCUUCUGUCGCUAUUGGUUUGUAUUUCCGAUUCAGUGGCGGAAAACAAAAAACCAAUGACGAAUACCUGUUAGCAGAUCGCAACAUGUCGAUAUUCCCAGUAGCUGUGUCACUUAUGGCUUCGUUCAUGUCUGCAAUUACAUUAUUAGGAGUAUCUGCUGAAAAUUACUACUACGGCAUGCAAUUCGUCGUCAUUAAUUUCUCAUACGGCAUCGCUACUCCUAUAGCUUCUAAGUUAUAUUUACCAGUAUUUUUUGGACUUCAAAAAACAAGUACUUACGAAUAUUUAGAGCUACGUUUCGGUCCACAAAUAAGAAUGUUGGCGUCAUUAACUUAUACUCUACAAAUGAUUUUGUAUAAUGGGAUAGUUCUAUAUGCGCCCGCAAUUGUUUUGGAAUCAGUGACGGGACUUGAUAGAUUGGUAUCUAUUCUAGUAGUGGGAUUAGCGUGUACAUUUUAUUCAACGCUAGGAGGAAUGAAGGCUGUGCUAUUCACUGAUUUGCUACAAUCGUUUCUAAUGUUUGGUGCAGUGUUCAGUGUUGUUAUAUUUGCAUCAAUACAACUUGGUGGAUUUGAACAAAUUUUCAUUAUAUCUUACGAAGGUGGCAGAUUGGACUUCUCAAAUUUCAGCGUAGACCCAACAGAAAGACAUACAUGGUUCUCUUUGAUUAUUGGUGGCUGCAUUACAUACCUUUCAUUGUAUGCUGUCAACCACACUCAGGUUCAACGUCUCCUCACAGUCAGCUCAUUGCAACGAUCACAGCAGUGUCUAUGGUGGAGUUGGCCUGUUCUUUCUGUGCUUAGUAUUAUUACGUGUAUCAGUGGAUUGAGCAUUUAUGCUGUAUAUAAAGACUGUGAUCCACUAACCAGCAAACACAUUGGAUCAAUUGAUCAGCUUAUGCCAUAUUAUGUGGUAGACGCGAUGCAGUCUGUACCAGGACUGGCUGGUUUGUUCGUGGCGGGAAUAUUCAGUGCGUCACUGUCCACUAUAUCCGCGGCCUGUAAUGCACUAGCGGCGGUUACACUUACAGAUUAUGUAAGCAGGUGGUUCAAAGUGAAUCCUUCUUAUAUUCCCUGGCUAACUAAGUUAGCGGCGUGUGUUUUCGGACUCGUAUUCCUUGCGCUGGCGUUCGUGGCCGAGCACUUAGGCGGGGUCUUGCAAGCUGCUCUAACGAUAUUCGGAGCCGUUGGUGGCCCUCUACUUGGUAUAUUCACUUUGGGAAUGUUUACUACAUAUGCGAAUGAACGGGGUGUAUCAGUUGCUCUUCUCAGCGGAAUGGCAAUAACUCUUUGGAUAAGUUUCGGAGGUCCUCGUCCGUCCCCGGUUAAGUUGCCAGUCAGUGUAGAAGGCUGCCUUUUCAAUGUUACACUACCUGAUCCAGUUUCAUCUCAACCGAGCGAUUAUUUCUACUUAUACAGGAUAUCUUAUAUGUGGACAAGUCCGAUCGGGUUUGUUUGGGUGUUAGUUGUGGGAUCAAUUGUAUCCCUUGCUUGGAAACAGCAGCAGCCGUGGCAGAAGGCGGGUCGCGAUCACCCCGACCCCGCGCUCUUCACUCCCCCCCUCGCACGCAGACUGAGGGCGAGGAACGAAAAGUCCAGUGCGCAGAUGGACACCAUAAUUCCACACUGAAUGCACACGCUUCUUUAUGGAUUUUUUUAUGCUUGCCAAAAUUUUAUAAGUGCGAAUUGCUGAAACAAGAUUUACAACAUUAAUGUUCCUGAUUAUAUUAUUAAAUUUAAUUUAUAUUGAAUAUCAUUGUAUAUUGUUAUUGCAUGGAAUAUGACGAUCGAAAUAUUCGAUGAAACUACUACUACAAUCUUAUUUAAAAUUUUAUUGUUUCUUUAAUUAUGUUAAA